rnacentral:rRNA from 1 species
UCUAAGGUAAUAAUACUAUCUAAUCCUAGGUUAAGUUCAGUCUUAAAGUAAGCCUAUGCUUAUAGGUUCUGCUAACUUCAUAGUGUCUACAGAAUGCGCUGCACCAUGACCUGUUUUUGUUGAGGUUUCAUAUAAUAAAACUUUUUAGUGGCUAAUUUUAACGGCGGUAUACAUACAUAUUUAUAGCAAGUUAGCCGUGUGGUGUCCGUUUAGGUAACAAGCUCCUCUAAUUAGGUAAAUUGCCGCCAAAUUCUUUGGGUUUGGUGGGUUUAAUAAUUACUACCCCCCAUUAGUUUCUACAGGAAUAAUAAGGUAUCUGGUCCUAGUUUAA